rnacentral:rRNA from 1 species
ACUCCUACGGGAGGCAGCAGUAGGGAAUCUUCCACAAUGGGCGCAAGCCUGAUGGAGCAACACCGCGUGAGUGAAGAAGGGUUUCGGCUCGUAAAGCUCUGUUGUUAAAGAAGAACACGUAUGAGAGUAACUGUUCAUACGCUGACGGUAUUUAACCAGAAAGUCACGGCUAACUACGUGCCAGCAGCCGCGGUAAUACGUAGGUGGCAAGCGUUAUCCGGAUUUAUUGGGGCGUAAAGAGAGUGCAGGCGGUUUUCUAAGUCUGAUGUGAAAGCCUUCGGCUUAACCGGAGAAGUGCAUCGGAAACUGGAUAACUUGAGUGCAGAAGAGGGUAGUGGAACUCCAUGUGUAGCGGUGGAAUGCGUAGAUAUAUGGAAGAACACCAGUGGCGAAGGCGGCUACCUGGUCUGCAACUGACGCUGAGACUCGAAAGCAUGGGUAGCGAACAGGAUUAGAUACCCU